UGUAAAUUGUACUUUUGUGUGCAUAUUAAAACGUAUUUGUGUUAAAAAGAAAACUGUGUAUAUCAACCUUGUGGUCCAUGAUUUUAAUGGUAAGGAAACAGUUUUCAAUAGAUAUAAUUCAUGUUAGGACUUUGGUAAAUUCUUAUUUUCGAAAAAACAUAAGAAUUAUACAGCUAUAGCACAUAAUGUGAAAAAUUUUGAUGGUCACCUUAUACUGAAUUAUCUUAUACAUCAAGGGAUAAAACCAGAGAUUAUUGUAAACGGUGGAAAAAUUAUGAUUAUGACAGUCAAAAGUCUUGGAAUAAAAUUAAUUGACAGUUAUAAUUUUAAACCCAUGUCUAUAUCAUUGUUUCCAAAAAUAUUUGGAUUAUAAGAACUGCAGAAAGGUUAUUUCCCACAUCUUUUCAAUAUUAAGUCCAAUCAAGAAUAUCGAGGACCUAUCCCGGAUGCCAGUUUUUACUCUCCCAACAUCAUGUCAGCAUCCAUAAGACAAAAGUUCCUGGAGUGACACUGUCAGCGACGAGAAGAAGAGUACAUCUUUGAUUUCCAAGAAGAGAUGUACAGAAACUGUCGAUCAGACGUAGAUAUACUACAAUGGCGAUGUCUCCAGUUCAGGGAUAAGUUUCUCUUAAUCUGUGAUGUAGACCCGUUUAGGUAUACGACAGUUGCUGUUGUAUGCAUGUUUGUCUACAAAAGUAAGUUUAUAACACCAUGGUCGAUAGCUCUAAUACCUAACAUGGAUACUUUACAACAAACAACUGCAGUCAAGUAAGUAUUCAAUGGUUAAACUAUAUACAAAAAUCUGACGGUAUAAAGAUUCAACAUGCACUUAAUGGUAGUGAGAAACAAAUCUUUAAUUAUAGGAUUGACAGUUUCUAUAAGGAACAAAAUACCAUCUAUGAGUUUUACGGAUGCUAUUAUCAUGGCUAUGAUAAAUGUUAUGAUUCUCACACAAAAAAUGUUUUAGAUAGACCUAUGUAGUUUAUAAGAAAUUGUAGUAUUGAUAGACAAAACAACUGGAAGGUCUCAGGAGACAAAGUCGUAACAAUAUGGGAGCAUUAAUUAAAAAAAAUGAAAACUAAUAAUAAUUAUUUAAUGAACUUCCUUAGAGAUCACACCAUAGUUCUCUGCAUGGACGUACGAGACUCCUUCUAUGGAGGAAGGGUUAAUGCAACACGACUUUUCUAUGAUGCAAAAGACGUUGAAAAAGUCAAGAUGGCCCACACACUGUGUUACAUCAGAGGCAAAACAAGGAUAUGUUCAAUGAUAUGCUGAAAAGGAAGGAGUGCAGCCGACCUCUGAAAACAGAAUUGAAUCCAGGCAGAAGAUGGACCUAACGAUCCUCCUUUAGGAGAUUACCUUGGAGAAUUUACAGAUGAGCUGGAUGGACACUGUAUAACAUCGUGGGUCAGUGGUGGUCAAAAAUACUUUCUAUAGCACUUACUCAUCCCAAGAAGAUCUGCAGAAACUUGAAGACUGAGACAAUUUACAACAAAGAAGAAAAGAAUAAUUAUCAUACUGUUUACACUAAACGACACAUCCUUCCAGACUUUGACAACCUUCAAUAUGGAUAUUGAUUUUCGCAUCACAUGGAACUAACUCCUUUCCAUGGUCUAUGAUCCAAAAAGAGGGCAUGUGCAGGGCCUUGAGGGUGGUUCUCAAGUAUGGUCAAACAUGAAUUAUAUAAGCAAUACAAAUGUUUCCAUCACGUAUCAAAUAUUUUGAAAAAGCUUAUCGAGAUGCAACGAGACAAUUAUAUGGUUACUUACUCAUCGAUUUGAAACCUCAAAUGCCUGAACAGAUCCAUCUGAGGACUGGACUUUUUCCUGAAGAUAAGUUAUAGUGUGUCUACCAAAGUAAGUUAAAAUAUUAUUUAACUGAAUAUAUAUUCAUUUAUCAUCAUGACAGCAGCUGUAGUGGAAGUAGAAGGGUUUUAUCUUAAGAAAUAGCCAUACGUAAUUAAGGAACUUGUAUUCAUGUGUUUAGUCACUGGAUACAUAAACGUGUUUUUGUUUACAUUUUCAAGUAAAUAUCUUUCAGAUGUUAAUCAUUGUCAGUGUAAUUGGGUGAUGCAGCAUAUUCACAGUAUUCCAUGUAAAUCUGGAAAUAUCAACUGUUCCUACCUGUGGAGUGUGACUAAAUAGUUGAGAGAUAACUUUACAAUCGUUCAUACAAACGGGAGAGAGAAAGCCGAAAUAUUGACAAGUUUGUUGAAAAUUCAUUGUUACAAUCUGUAAUUGUUUGGAUGACCCAAGAUUAAUGGACUUCCAAAAUCUACUCUGUCCUGCCCAUUUCAUAUUAACAAUUAUGAUCACUCUAGUAAGAAGAAAGUUGAUGUUUUAUAUAAAUGGAUGUAUCAAUAAACAAUUUUUGUAUGUUGUA